CCCUGCUGGUCUCCCUGCUGGGGACUGCAGAGGCAGGAGGGACCUGUGGCUGCAUGUGCCAGGAUGCCCACGCUGGCAGGGGCAGGCAGGGAGCCCUGCUCGCUGCUCCUCGGGGGCAGGAGCAGCCGUGCCUGGGACCCCUGCCCUGGGACCCCUGCCCUGGGACCCCUGCCCUCGGCACGGGCAGGCUCUGGCAGCAGCCAUGGGAGCAGAGAUAAAAGGUGCUUUUGGGAUCUGGCAUGAUGGGUGGGGAGCACAGGCUUUAAUAGACAUGUUCAUCUUUCAGCAGUGUGUUUUGCAUGUAAUAAUGUCAGCACACUUCUCACUCUGGCAGAAAUUCCACAGAUAAUUGGAAAGAAGUAAAAAUGAAAACAUUAGAAUUUGCCAUGUCAUAUGUUAACUUUUUAUUAUUGUAUGAUGCCAAUGGUCCACUGACAGAUGCUGUGUUAUUAACAUUUGAUUAAAAAUCACUUCAGGUCUAAAGCAGCCUGUUCAGAAGAGAACAUCUUGACAAGCCUGGUGGUUUGUGAUUGACAAUUAAUAACAUUCUGUAUGUCACAACACAGAUAGUGUGACUUAUUGGUGCUGGUGUAAUGCAACACUUUUCAUCUGAGCUCUUCAAAUUGGUACAUAGAAAUAGGAGAGAAGGAGCCUAAUUCAGCUGACUUUGAUUACAAACACACCAGCCAGUGCAGAGAUCUCCAUCCCAGAGCAGAUCAGCAGUGCUCAACAAGACAGGCCCUCAUCCCAGACCUCCACUGCACGGGAAAGGACUUCACAUCCCAUUUCACCACCAAACUUCUGUGCAGGAGCUCACUAUUCAAAUACAUGGUUACAGCAGCUACUUGCAGCAAAAAACUACGUAUCUUAUUUCACCAAAACUUAGAAGGAAAACAUUAAUUCACUUAGAUAUUAAAAUAAUUUGUAACUGGAAAGAUGAAUGGUCAAUCCUUCAAUGGUUUGGUCAGGAACUCGUAAUUGCACACUACUGCCAGUGAGGUCUGAUGUUCAUGUGUUAAUAGGGAAAUUCAUUAAAAACAUGUAAAUUACAUUCUUUGGGUGAGAGUUGGAAUGUACCAUUUCAAUUGUCUCUGCUCUAGCAAAGGGGAAAUUCUGAGAAACUUUGCUCAUGCUUUUCCUGCUUUGAAAUAAAGGCUUUGGCAGCCCUGGGCACAUUUCUGUCCAGAAAAAAUGCUAAAAAUGCUGCUGUGGACUCACAUGCUGCACCAUGGCCACCAGAAGUCUGGGCAGCCCUACAUGUGAGCAGGCUGAACCUCUGCAAAUCCAACCAGCUCCAGACAAAUGUGUCCUUGCCAUCUUCAGUGCAGGAUUUACUGGAAACCCUUUUCCUGGCUGUAUGGCCCCAAAGGGCCACGGUGUCUGCCCUGUCCUGCCCUGUCCCACACGUGGCUGCCACCCACCUCGUGUGUCCCUGCACUGCUCCCCUGGCAGGGCAGCCACUGCCAGCACCACCUCGCUGUGCUGCACCCUGAGCAAACAGUUACGUGCUGGAGCAAUGCAAACACUUCCCAGCCCUAAUGCAGUAAGCAGGGGAAAUAAUUACAGAUUUCCAAGGUUCAACAGGGAAUACUUCUGAGAAAUGCGUCCUCCACUGGGAGUUUCAUAACCAUUUAAUCUAAUUUUUCUUGAUGUUUUGAUCUUCCUCUUAAACAAGGCAUUUGUCAUUAGCUUUCAAGGAGACAAGUUGCUAAUACAUUACACUCUUAAAAGGCCCACAGUUAGUGUCAAUGUCUUCUGAUGGCUGUUCACUAACAGUACAUGAAAGAAUUGCCAGUGUCAGUUCCUUUCCACAUGGCUUCAGCCGUGAUGGCAGGACGGUCCUGUCCCAGCAGUGCUGGCAAGGACACUGUGCUGGGGGGCCCAGGGUCAGCCUUGUCCCCUCCACCGUCCUGUCCCCUCAUUGUGGUGGUUUUGCCACCUGGCUCACGCUCAGGUGAUUCUGAGUUUCUCCUGAUAUUUCUGGGCAGACAUAAAGCAAAGAUAUACCAGGAAAAGGAAGCACAGGAACCUCACCACAGCCAUUCCUGCCCCCAGCAUGUUCUCUUGCUGCCAGUACAGGAGCACCUGCAAAACCCAUGGCACGUGCUGUGCCCUCCACCAGAGAGCCAGAGAAACCCUGGCUGGACUGCCCAGACCCACCUGCAGUCUCUGCUCCUUCUGCUCUUCCAACAGUGUCAACAAAGCAGGUGGAAAAUAUAUAUUUUUAACUUCUUGGAUGACAUAACUUGCAUAUUAAAUAAUAAUGAGCCAAUAAAUUACAAGAAACUAAACAACCAGAAGAAUAUGUAUGUGAAGUUUGGAGUGUUUAUAAUCGAAUAAAUCAUUCAUGAUGUAUAAACUCUGUAUAGCUAAAUGCAUCAUUUACUGAACUUCAUCACCUUUCACAACAUCCCCACCUCUACCUGGCUGGUUUCGGAGCAGCUGUGGAUCUCUGCAGAGAGGCUGGUGAUCAGCGGAUUACAGAGAUUGGCAGGAUUUAGGCAAUGGAAGGAAGCAUCAUAGCAGGAGAGGCACAUCCAAACAGAGCAUUUGCUUUUUACUUGGGAGGCACCACAAACCUUUCCAGCAGCUGCUGGAAUUCCUGAUGCUGGGGCUGGCGGCAGCAACCCCUGCAACUGUAGAAAAAGCUGCUACACCUGGCUUCUCUUUCUCUCCCUGGUGUUGACUUUGCAGUGCAGAAAUGUCCCUGUUCCUGCCGUGUCCUCCCGGCCCUGCACACCUGCACACGGCCGGUCCGUGCCCAGCCCGGGGCAGGCGGGGCUGCUCCAAGGGGAGGGCGCAGCGCUGCCGCUGCCCUGCGCACAGCGGGACAGCCCCGGAGCCUGCCCCACCCUGGGGUCCCGAUUCCCCACGGCCCCGGUGCUGCCGGGCUCCCAGGCCGGGCUCGGGACUGACCGUGGAGGAGCCGGUGGCACUGACCGUGGAGGAGCCGGUGGCACUGACCGUGGAGGAGCCGGUGACACUGACCGUGGAGGAGCCGGUGACACUGACCGCUGCCCCGGGCUGGUGGCACUGACCACUGAGGAGCUGGUGGCACUGACCGCUGUCCCAGGCCGGUGGCACUGACCACUGCCCCGGGCCGGUGGCACCGACCGCAGAGCAGCCGUGGCCGGGGCGAUGCUCUUGGCGCACCUGUCACACGCAAAGCCCAUUAAUGGUGGCAGUUUGUGACACAACCGAAGGCUCCUCUAAGGGCAGCUCUGCCGCGAUUCCGCCGCGCUGACUUUGGAGGCGUUCGCUGGUGUGGCGAGCUCAGCUUCCCCCUCUGCUUCCCAGGCUCCAGAGAAUAAUCCUUCCUCUGGCUGGCUCUGCUGCUGCUAUGGCAAUAUUUUCUCCCCCAUCGUGGUAAUCACGCAAUGGUCUCUGAGAACAGCAGGAGAAGCUGUGCCUGGUAGAUGCAUAAAAGAGCUCUCUCUUCUUCAAAGGCCAUAAGAGCCUGUGACUCCACCAACCUCUUAAAUGGAAAAGGUAAUUCCCGUGGAAGCUCUUGUGAGGCAGGGCAGGGCUGUGUGAAGAGGGAUGAAGGACAUGGAUGCUCAGAAGGCUCCAGAUCAGGGUAAGAAGUGCUCGUGGAAUUAUCCUUUGAAAUGUACACUUUGCAGGAAGGCCCCAGGGAUCAUCAAACUGAGGAGCUGGGCUGAGUUGCACCAUCUGCUUGGGAUUUAGGACAGGCAGAGCUGUGAAAAUAUGAAUUAAAAGUCCAGAGAAGCAGGAAAUAGUUUCCCCUUGCCCCAUAUUUUGGAAAUUGUACCCAGCAAAGCUGGGUGGCGGAAGCCACUCUCACGCUGUGACAUUCCCAGUGACAGGGCUGGGUCACUGGGGCCCAGCUGGCACCCCAAACACCAGACCUGCCCCGUGGGCUUUGCUGCCUGGCAGCAGCCCUCCCUGAGCAAGGCUGCUCUGGCAGCCUCAGGCACAGCCCCAGUUCCUGUAUUCAGUUCUUGCUGCAUCGGCUCCCCAGGCAGCAGGCAAGGGGCCGAUGCCCACGCAGAGCCCUGCACCCCUGGGCUCUCCUGGUCACCAGCUGCCUGCUACUCACUGCACAGUCCUGAUUGUGACUUUAGGAGCUCCAGGAAUGGGUAUAUCAUCUGUUUCUCAUUGCGUUCCCUUUCCUGUGGCUUGCUGAAGCCGAUGUGCUGAGAAAUGCA